GCAAGUUUGUACACUUAGAUGACAUCUGCCUCUCAUUGACUUCCAGGGUGGACUCAGCUCGUCUGGCUGGCUAAGCAGUGUCUCCUUCCUCUCGCAUGGCUCCAUGUGUGUCCCUCCUAAAGUUUCUUGCCAGGUGGGAGAGGAAGAGGGCCAUUCUUCAGUCACAAGUGGCGUAUACAAGUAUACAAGUGGCGUGGUCCUCAGGUAGAACCUCCAUACACAUUGUCAGGGUGUUACUACUCUGUAAUUUGCAUAUGAGGAGUGACGAGGUAAUAUAAAUUUCUCAAGGUGUGAGAAAAU
rnacentral:snRNA from 1 species